rnacentral:rRNA from 1 species
UACGAAGGGGGCUAGCGUUGUUCGGAAUUACUGGGCGUAAAGCGCACGUAGGCGGAUUGUUAAGUUAGGGGUGAAAUCCCAGGGCUCAACCCUGGAACUGCCUUUAAUACUGGCAAUCUCGAGUCCGAGAGAGGUGAGUGGAAUUCCGAGUGUAGAGGUGAAAUUCGUAGAUAUCGGAGGAACACCAGUGGCGAAGGCGGCUCACUGGCUCGGUACUGACGCUGAGGUGCGAAAGCGUGGGGAGCAACAGG